rnacentral:tRNA from 1 species
UAAUUUUUUAGUAUACAUUGUACAUUUAGCUUCCAACUAAAAAGUCUAAUCUUUAGAAAAAUU